UACGUAGGUGGCAAGCGUUGUUCGGAAUUAUUGGGCGUAAAGGGCGCGUAGGCGGUUUGUUAAGUCAGCUGUGAAAGCCCGGGGCUCAACCCCGGAGGGUCAGCUGAUACUGGCAGACUAGAGUACAGAAGAGGUAACUGGAAUUCCCGGUGCAGCGGUGAAAUGCGUAGAUAUCGAGAGGAACACCUGCGGCGAAGGCGGGUUGCUGGGCCGACACUGACGCUGAUGCGCGAAAGCCAGGGAGCGAACGGGAUUAGAGUACCCGAGU
rnacentral:rRNA from 1 species